CACGGCGCACGGGUGCGUAACACGUGGGUAACCUGCCCUGCAAUGGGGGAUAACCCGCCGAAAGGCGGGCUAAUACCGCAUGACAUUCCGGUGGCUUCGGACGCCGGAAUCAAAGCCCGCAAGGGCGUUGGAGGAGGGGCCCGCGGCCGAUUAGCUAGUUGGUGAGGUAACGGCUCACCAAGGCUGUGAUCGGUAGCCGGUCUGAGAGGAUGGCCGGCCACACUGGAACUGAGACACGGUCCAGACUCCUACGGGAGGCAGCAGUGGGGAAUCUUGCGCAAUGGGCGAAAGCCUGACGCAGCGACGCCGCGUGGGGGAUGAAGCUUCUCGGAGUGUAAACCCCUUUCGACCGGGACGAAUGCCCGCAAGGGAGUGACGGUACCGGUAUAAGAAGCCCCGGCUAACUACGUGCCAGCAGCCGCGGUAAGACGUAGGGGGCCAGCGUUGUUCGGAAUUACUGGGUGUAAAGGGUUCGUAGGCGGUGUGGCAAGUCGGGAGUGAAAUCUCUGGGCUCAACUCAGGGGCUGCUUCCGAAACUGCUGUGCUAGAGUGUGGGAGAGGCGCGUGGAAUUGCAGGUGUAGCGGUGAAAUGCGUAGAUAUCUGCAGGAACACCCGUUGCGAAAGCGGCGCACUGGACCACAACUGACGCUGAGGCGCGAAAGCUAGGGGAGCAAACAGGAUUAGAUACCCUGGUAGUCCUAGCCCUAAACGAUGAUUGCUUGGUGUAGCCGGUACCCAAUCCGGCUGUGCCGCAGCUAACGCGAUAAGCAAUCCGCCUGGGGAGUACGGCCGCAAGGUUGAAACUCAAAGGAAUUGACGGGGGCCCGCACAAGCGGUGGAGCAUGUGGUUUAAUUCGA
rnacentral:rRNA from 1 species